CUCCUCGUCUGAAAAACAAGGUUAUGUAAAUGAGGAAUAUCAGUUAUGAAGUUUUUGAUGCAAUACUUGUCCAGUGCUAAAGACAGUUUUUUUGAGGGUUAUCUCCAGAUUAUCAUCAAACUGACUGAUACAGAAGCAAGUGUAGCUUUCUAAGAGGAAGAGAGCUGAGGAGCACAAGAAGUUGAGUGGGGGGACACAUAAACUGGCCAAAGGAAUAUUCCAGACCUUACUGGCAUCAUGCUGAGGAUAUACUUGUGGAGAAAGUGGGCUGGAGACUCAUGCUGAGGGAUUGCCUAGGAAUCAGUCAGCAAGUGGUGAGCAACUGUAUUGUGAGUAACUUGUUUUGUGUAUUCUCUAUUAUUUUGAUGUAUAUUCACUAUUAUUAUUAUCAUCAUAAUCAUAAUUUUCUUCCUUUUCUGUUUAUUUAACUAUCUUUAUCUGAAUCUAUGAGUUUUCUCAUUUUUACUCUUCUGAUUGUCUCCCCCAUCCCACUGGAGGGGAGUGAGUGGCUGCGUAGUGCUUGGUUGCCAACUGUGGUUAAAGAAUGCCACUUAAAACACUUGCAAAGUGUCAAAUAAUCCAUCACAGCUGUUCAGCUACUCAGUGUAGUAGGAAAAAAAAAAGGAUGCCAACACUUUUUCAUCACCCAAUGGAAUAACAAAAUACUACAAAAAUAAUAAAAAUUGGGAGUUUUCUCAUAAUUCAUAUUAUGGCUUAAUUUUUAGAACUGCUUUUGUGUUCUUCCACAGUUACUUACAGUGUGAUGUGUGCCAUUGCAGACCUUAGCAAUAGUCAGGUAAGAUGCACAAGCCUUCCCCUGCUACCAAUGUGCUUUUUGUACAGAGGAUUGUUAGACCUUCAUUUGUAUUUAAUAUAAUCACCACUCAAAGUCUCCUUGUUUUCAUGAUCUCUACUGACUUUAAAUUGCAGAUGAUAGUUAUAAAGCUUAAAAAAAUUAUUAUUCUUAAUAAAACAUUUAAAUUUCUAGCAAGGCAAUUUCUUUUUCUGCAUAUAAACCAAAACUUAGGUGAAUUUUUUUUCUAGAAUAACUUGAAAAUCAGAUACCAGCUAAUCAGUCAUCAAAUUAGAACUCAAUAUGAAAAAGUGGUACAACAAUUAGAAAAGAAGGGAUCUUAGUAAUCAGAAACAAUGCCCUUGUUUUAGUUUAAAUACUUUAGUCAGUCUAAAGCGAACAGGGGAGUGUAAAAUAUGUACUUAAAUGUAUGUGUAUGUGUAUUGGGAAUUAAUCAACUUAGGUCCCUUGAUAGUCGAAUUGGGGACUAAAGAAUUCAUUCAUUACAGGAAAGACUUUGUAAUUAAUAGUUUCUGCUGUGCUUAUGAGUCUUAAUGAAAUAAGCCUUGUGAAACUUUUGUAAGAGAGGGAUUAUGGAAUUACAUUUUGUUAGAUUUUGUUUUGUGCAGUUCCUUCUAAGGUGAAACAUGGAAGAGAACAGAGAACUCUACUGUUAAGCCAGGUUUUCAAGCUUCUUUUUUCCACUUAUCUAGCUGAACUGUGAUUAUCACUAAAAUGAAAAUGAAUGGGUUUUUUUAGAGCAUUUGUUCUGGUAUAAUGAAUUAUUGAAGUGUCUUAACAACAAAAUCCUUUUUAAAUGAAAUCAUAUUUCUAAUACAGUGGACAGAUGCCUAACUUUCAGUAGUAGCCAAGAAAACAAUUUCACUCUGACAAGGUGCAAUCAGGAGGAAAUUUUAUGUAACACUGCAAGUAAUAAAUAAAUUAUGCAUAGCAAGACUAAAUUCAGAAUAAGUGUACUGUGAAACAAAAUACAUUAGAAUAACUGAAGAAAUAAUUAAUUACAGAGUUAGGAUAUAAACAGUAAUGCAUCUCAGGCAGAAGCAAACAACAAAAUUGAAGAAAGAUAAUCGUGGGCUGAGUUUGUUCAAGAGAAACAACAUUUACAGGUGGGCAAAUUCGUCUUGUCUCACAGGAUGACAGUUUACUUGCAGAGAUCCAGCACAAGCUUUAUUCAUGUUAGAUCCCACCAGAAAGGAUGGCAUUAGAUAUAUUGUUUGUAUGUAUGUCUUGAGCUCUCAACAGAAGUGCUUUUUAUUGAGUGAACCAGCUCCCUCUUUAUCUUCCUGAAAUCGUAAUUUCAAUUCUACAGCCACUCAAGCAAAGGAUAUUUUCACAAACAGCAAAAUUGGAAUAAUUUCUUUAAAUCUGGAAGUCACAGAAAUGCACUAAUACAUAAGCUUGUAACUGUGUGGAAAUUUCCCAAGAAAGGUAAUUUGCAAAACUAUGCUAGGGAGGCAUUCCCCAAUCUUAAAGUAAGUAAACAGCACAUCUGGUAAACUGAAACUUGACAGUAGAAAAUUCAUCUUGGCAUCACAAGUUAAUUGACACCUGCAUUAAUUAUGUUGUGAACUCUUAAAGCUCUUCUGCACCACACCAAAUUCCCUUGCACUUCCAAUAUGUAACCAAACACAACACAUAGCAGUUAACUUACCAUUCUGACUAAAAACUCAACCUUAGCUACGUAACAUUCUCUAUAAACACAUUUACAGAUACAAACUGUUAUUUUGCAUAUAGGAAACUAUGAUGCAGGAAUCUUACUUCUACAUGUGAUGUGAAAUGAAACUGAAAAUGGGAAUCUCUUCUGGUUAAAUGUCAAAGUGCAAAGGAGAUGGCUGUGGAACCAGAGAGUGAAUACACUUGGGUAAUUUGGUAUUAAGGAAGUCCUAGGAGUUUUAAACAUGUGGAGAAAGUCAUGCUUUACAUUAACUGACACUUCUGAUUCACAGCUUCAUCCAAAUCACACAUCUCAUCAAGAACAAAGCUGUCGCACAGGUGGAUCCAACUUUGCAAGGCAUUACAGUAGAUGUAAGAAGUUAUGUUUAGGUGGAAGUCUACACGAUUUUUAGUGCUCUUAUGGCUGUUCAUAUUAUUUCAUGAAAGCUAGAUGGGAAAGACAUCUGGGACAUUUUCCAGAUCAUCUCUACAAUACUAACCUCAUUAAGAAAGGGAGAUGUUACCUCCCUCUUCAAGCCUUUUCUAGGAAAGAAAUAGUUGCAAUAAGUCUUUUUACUGGAAGGAUUUACUUCACUGAGUUUAAUAUUGCAGAUCUAAAAACUGUCUCCCAGAUGUUUACAUACGGUAGACUUUUUUUUUGGGGGGGGGGUGGUGUAUUUUUUAUUAUUUUCACAUCCAUAUACUGGUUGAAUUCUGAAGUUAGUUGUCAGAAUUUCCAGGAUUAAGGAUUUACUCAAACGUAAGGUAUUUAAAUGCAAAGCACUAGAGGGCAUUAGACAAAAAUUCAGUUAAUAAAAAAAUAAAAAUCCCAUUUUAAUUUGCUUUUGCAGUGUCAAAAUGAGUGAAGGUCUGAAACACGGCAUAUAGGCAUAAAAUUGCCUGUAACAGCUCGAUCCAAUGACCUCCAACAACAGAAACUAUCCCAACCUCUUUCAACCAGUCCUAGCUGUUCUAUUUUCUUUUUUGCUGGCUCAGGUGGCACUUUUCCAACUAUGCACCAAGCAAAUUCAUGCAGUACUAAUCCUACUACCCCCAUCAGUGGAGCAGGUAAGAGGUGGGCAAGUCGACUGAAAGGUCACAUAAGAGCCAGGAUUAACAGCCAGGAGCAUGGAAUGGAGAAGAAAACUUCUUUGAACAGGACAUGCCCUUUCUUCUGUUCUAGAAUAGUAUAGACUGUUAUCUUUAAGAAAGAUGAAGAAAGAUGAAGCUAACACAGUUAUCUUUCUUGGUGAUACCAACUUGUUAAGAGGAUCAAGGGGAUGGACAGCUAUGAAGUACUCCUAAGAAGACAUCACAUAAUUCAGUUUCCAGAUUAAGGUUCUGCAGUUUUGUGGUCUACUGGUAUAUUUCAAAAAAAUGCCUCAUUAAUUUGUGCACAAGCUGUUUUCUCUCUGGUGCAGUUUAUGUAAUUCACUGAGGAAAAAAGGAAAUCCCUAGAACAACAUGACUCUCUCUGAAACUGCCCCUUUUCUAUCCCUCCUCCUUUACCAAUGACAGUGCAGCUGACUUCCCCAAACCAUCAGAAGUACUAGUCUAUGUUGAAAAUACUGCUGCUUACUGACAUUUAUAGCAUAAAUUAUACUUGUAUUCUGCAGCCAAGUCCUGCUUGAAACAAUAUUCCAGUCUCAUUAGGAAACUGUGGCAAGGCUUUCAAUUUUUAAGCUGUCGUAUCUGGCAGAGCUGUGAGAAUUGCCUUUUAUGUUUCAGGGGAAAAUACUCUUGGUAGAGAACUGCACAUGAAAAUAGAAAUAGAUUAGUUCCCCUUUAAAGAUUGCAAUAUUUAGUCAGAAGAGCUUACAAAGAAAUUGAGCAGUAACCUUACUAGUGUGCCAGUGAGUGGCACACUGCAAGAAACAAAAAUGGAAGCACAUUUUAAAGAGUGAACUAAUACAAACACAAAUUGUGAGGAGGUCAGAUCUCUGAUUCUCACAUCAAGAGGACAAAGCUAGAAGACAGUCUGAAAUGAGCUUUAUGAGUUAUUUUUCAGUAGAAACUGAUUUUUAAGUAUAAGUUUGGUAUGCACUAGAUAUGAUAAGCUAAUUCAAGGACAGAUAAAGGUCUGAGUCACAAAUAAAAGUCACAAAAAAAAAUUCUACCAAAAUUGGAAGAAAGAAGGGCAGUGCAUCCCAGAAGAACAGUAAAUUGAGUCUUUGUUUCCUUAGCUCCUUGCUAUUCUUUGUUUUGCCUUGACAUAAAUGUCCUCUUACCCGCUGUGGCAACUUCAUACAAAUGGAACCAAGGAACAAGCAGCAUAAAUAAAAUCUGACUAUUGUGACUCUGACAUCAUUAACAAAAUCCAAGACCAAAUAUACUUAUUGCAACCAUUUUUCACGUCUUUGAUUUUAUAUUUCUGGGAUCUGUUUUUUAGUUAAGCUUAUAGAAUAUAACUUUAUAUCCCCAUCAUAAAUCAAACAUCAUGGAUGUCUUUAAAUAUUCUGAAAGGCUCUUAGUGGAUACUAAGUAAUUUAGAUAAAGAAUCAGAGAAAUGUAGAUCUGGAAGAGAUUUCAAAAGAUCACCCAUCUCUGCACACAGGCAAUAUGAAAUAUACUACAGUCCAUCCCUAUGAGAUGUUUCAUAGACCUCUUCUUAAAACUUCUAUAAUGGAAAUUUAACAACUCCCAUGGGAAGCAUAUUUUAGUGUAUCACUACUCUUAUAGUUGGAAAGUUUCUCUAGCCUGUCUUUGCUACAAAUAUAGGUUUACUCAAGUGGAUACUAAGAGAAACUUUCCAAUUAUAAUGAUCAUGAAGUAUCCCCAAGUCUAUAUCAAGAAGCCACUAUAAUUUUCAAAGACAUUCUGGUGUUUGAUACGCAUACAAUUAUUUAUAGUUUCAUGUUAUCUUUUGAUUAAAAAAACUUAUUUCAGUCAUUUUUCAGUAACAGAACAGAACAGAAUUCAGUUUAGUAACUGAACAGCAUUCAGUAAACCAGAAUUUCUUUUCUGAGACUGAGUUUACCUUUAACUCUUAAAUUGACAGGACAAAUGUGUAAUGCCGGUGUUAAACAACGAUUCUGGAUUAUGUCAUAUAUUUUUGUAUUAGUUGUUAAAAGCCCAGCACAAAAUAAUGAUUAAAAAAAAAAAAAUCAAAACAUUUACAACAAAAGUGGUCUUUCAUUUGAAACUCAAGGAUGGAGUUCCAUAUUCUACUCCAGUAGGAAGCCUUGACUUUAAACACAUGACAUAAUCUGUUUCUAUCUAAUCUUUAAAAGGACACUAAGACUCAUUCAUAUUAGAAGUUUAAUGAAGAUACAGUAUGCAAAAUAUUUCAAAUGCUAACAAGAGGGGUGCUGCUUUUUAACAGGUUCACAAGGUGAUACAGGAACAUGGCAUAUCUCUAAGUAAAUCUGACAGGAAGCAAAGAACAAAAGAGCAAGUAAGAUACCACUUCUGCCAAACAGGUGUUUUUGGUACUGGCUUUAGUAUAAAUUGACUUCUGCCUGCUGAUAGUGUCUUGAUUGUGUUUCUAAAUCAGUGCAUGAUUUAUAAUGAAUUCAAUUGAUUAAUUUCAGUCUCAGAAGUACAAAAGCCACAGAAGUGAUAAACUCCGCAACUGUGUUAAAGCUACCAUAAAGGUAAAUUGCUCUAUUUCAGGGCUUCCUGAAAUCAGGGCAUUCUGACGUAUCAGUUAUUUAGAAAGUUACCUGUAGAACAGUCCAGUUGAGAUACAACAGAACUGAUACACCAUUUCAUUUCAUGGUUUGUUCAAACAUGCACAGAAUGGUUAAUGUUCUGUUCUCAUGUUUCUACUUUGAAGUAACCCUCAUCUAAAUUCAGACUAUAUUUAUAUUUUUAAAGCACAAAUCUGUUUUCUUUCAGCAUUGUUCUAGCGCAAGCUAUAUCUGCAUCAGAAAGGCUCGAGGCAGCAAAUGUCAUGUUUUGCAUAAAAUCCUUUUUCUACUACGGUAACAAAUUUCUUGCUGCCAUGGGAUUUUUAUGAUAUUUUUCCCUUCAUAAUUUUUUAAAAAAUAAAUUAAAAAAAAGCACAUAGAGCGCAAAUAGAAGCAAAAUUUCAUCUUAUAGUCACUAUUUCACAUUCUACAUUAUAUCCCCAAUCAAAACAUUUGUUUUACAAUUUGUAUACAAUAUUAUUUGUAUACAGUUAUUUGUAUUAUUUGUAUACAUUACUAUUUCAGGCUUGCAGUCAUGAGAACAAUUAUACUGCAUGGCUACUGGAAAUACCCUGCCUUUAGCCUUGUUAUGCACCUGAGAUGUGUGAAACUGUCUCAAUUACAAAAUAUAUUACAGAAGACCUGGGGUCUGAUCCUGCAAAUGUUAAAAGUAUCCUACAACAGCCAUUUGCCAGUGAUAAGGAAGAAACUAUACUGGAGAUGCAGGAUUAUCCCAAAUCAGGCCUUAAGUGCAUACAACCACAUUAUAUGGUGACAUCUCAAAUUAAAAUCCUGUCUUUUUAUGUAAUACAGAAGUAACACACACAACUUACAUAUAGUAAUAAUUUAUUCUGAAAUGUUGAUUUUAGUCUCUGUUGAGGCAUCACCCACGUCUCAUUAAUAAAAGAGCAGCCAUCUCACCUCAAAUACCAGAAUAUACAACAAGUUACAGCAUAGCAAAAAAAAUUCUACCUACUUUAAGAUAAAAUUUAAUUCAGGUAAAAUAAUUUUGUUCAAACUUUUACAGUUACACAGGUGGGUUUUUUUUUUUUUGUUGUUUUGUUUUUUCUUUUUCAGAGCACAAAGAAAGUGUAAAUUGUUACACUGUAACUAUCUAUGCACAUUAUGUGA